GAUGAACGCUAGCUACAGGCUUAACACAUGCAAGUCGAGGGGAAACGAUAGAGAAAGCUUGCUUUUUCUAGGCGUCGACCGGCGCACGGGUGAGUAACGCGUAUCCAACCUGCCCAUCACUUGGGGAUAACCUUGCGAAAGUAAGACUAAUACCCAAUGACGUCCAUAGAAGACAUCUGAAAUGGAUUAAAGAUUUAUCGGUGAUGGAUGGGGAUGCGUUUGAUUAGCUUGUUAGCGGGGUAACGGCCCACCAAGGCGACGAUCAGUAGGGGUUCUGAGAGGAAGGUCCCCCACAUUGGAACUGAGACACGGUCCAAACUCCUACGGGAGGCAGCAGUGAGGAAUAUUGGUCAAUGGACGAGAGUCUGAACCAGCCAAGUAGCGUGCAGGAUGACGGCCCUAUGGGUUGUAAACUGCUUUUAUAAGGGAAUAAAGUGGGAGUCGUGACUCCUUUUGCAUGUACCUUAUGAAUAAGGACCGGCUAAUUCCGUGCCAGCCGCCGCCGUAA
rnacentral:rRNA from 1 species